AGGAAAGCAAAGUAGGGUUACACAACCCGUUUGGGGGACGGGGCCUCUUGUAUUCUUGGCUAUUAGCGGUUGCGUUGUGAUCUUUUGUUGCAACGUUCAAAUUAUUUGAACAAUUUACGCAAAUAGGGUUUGGUGAUUUCCGCAACGGCUAGUACAACCUUUUUUAAGCCACACCUUUUCUCCUCUCAUUUAUUCACCAACACAACCCCUCUUUGCAAGAAGGAAGAUUCAGAUUCAGAUCACUGUUUUCCUUCUUCUCCUUCUUUCUUUCUGCAACUCUAUUGCUAUUCAUUCAAUCAACACAAUAUGGCUGCCAAUAAUGGGAACACAGAGUAGUUUUGCGUUUCCAGCCUCAUGCUUGAUUUGGUGAUCCCUUCUCCCUGUAUUCUGAUUUAUCAGAUUUUGCCGUUCGUUUCUACUUUUCAUUGGCCUGGUACGAGCUUUUCUUGAUUUACUUCUCCAUGAUUUUUGCUCUGAUCUCUCUGGGAAGAUCAGUGAAUGUGUGGUGUGGGUUGUGGAAGCAGUGGUUGUCUUAUUAGAUGAUUUGGUGUUCUCUACUCCGGAUUCUGAAUCUUGGAUUUGAUUUUUGCUUUUCAAUGGUUACUGAGAGCUUUAUUUAUCUCUGCAAUUAUGGGUCAAUGUGUUCUUUCAUCUUUGGAAAUUGUUUCUCUCGGUUCUAUUUUUCUUUUUCCAUUAAGUGGAUUGUUAUGCUUCUUGCUUGUUCCAAUCUUAAUCGAGUUUGUGUUUUUCCGAUUGAUACCCUUUUAUUGGAAUUGAAGAUCUUAAGAAAUUGAUAGUCUAGUGACUUUUUACAUCAAUUAUUUGAAUUAUAGAGCAUUUUUCUUCAUUUUGUCAUGGAUAAUCAUUUAUCUAAUAGUUGAUGGAGUUGAACUGUUUGUGUUUCAUCGGUUUGCAGCACGUUAAGAUUACUGUGUCAGAUUGAAGAUUAAAAUAUAAAAAGAUAUUAUGCCUGAUACGGUGGAUUUAAACAGCUAACUGUUCUCGAUAAACCUAAUUUCUUCUUUGAUUUUCCUCUAUUGUUCAAUUUCCCUGGACUUGAUCACGAAACACACGGAUUGAAUUGUGAAUCUGUUUUCUGCAGCGUAGUGUUCGGAAUAGUUUCGUGUAAUGUUCUGCAUAGUGUGAAGCCGCCUCGAAAAUGGUUUGGUGGUGUCUACUAGUUGAAUAUUCUUGGAUUUGUCUCUUUGUUUCUAUGUUUCACUUAGUUUUCUAGGUUUAAUUUGCUGUGACUUGCGCUUGGGUCUUACAGGGAAGAUAAGCAACGGAUGUGACUGGCAUGGGAGGCUGUGGAAAAGCUGUGUGGCGGAAGAUUUCUGUGUGAAGCCUUAGGUUUUAUUACCCUUGCAUUCAUCAUUUUAUUGUUUGUUUGUUUUGGACUGGCUAUGCCUAUCCAGUUUAUUUUGGAAUUUGAUCUAGUUGUUUGUCGGUGUAAGUAUAAUAACCCCUCUGUUAGUGUGGGAGUUCUUGUGUGGGUUUGUAACAGGAACAAUCAAAGUAUUAUGCAUUUGGGGAUUGUUACAAUGUCACAGGAAGAAUUUGGGACAGUGUGAUUGGGUGGUUGACUCUUUGAUUGGUUUGGAGAAAUUCUACUGCUCCUUUUACUGUUUUCUUGAUAAUGGUGAUGUUCAUAUUGCAGUAUGCUGGAGUAUCAAUUUUGCAUUCAUUCUUCAUACAGAAGAUUAGAACUGCUAACAAAGUAUAGAUAAUGUAAUUUUUCUUCGAUGGAAUCCCUUUGUUUUGUUUCUAGGUUCGGUCUGAAUUUGAUCAUGGGGGCAUAUGGAUUGAGUUGUUAACCUCUUUUUUCCUGGUGUAGUGUUUUGAAUGGUUUUGCGUUUACAGCCUCAUGCUUGAUUUGGUGGUCUCUACUCCCUGGAUUCUGAUUUAUCAGAUUCUGCCUUUCGUUUGUACUUUUGCGUAGUGUUCGGAAUAGUUUCGUGUAAUGUUCUGCAUAGUGUGAAGCCGCCUCGUCAAUGGUUUGGUGGUGUCUACUAGUUGAACAUUCUUGGAUUUGUCUCUUUGUUUCAAUGUUUCACUUAGUUUUCUAGGUUUAAUUUGCUGUGACUUGCGCUUGGGUCUUACAGGGAAGAUAAGCAACGGAUGUGACCGGCAGGGAGGCUGUGGAAAAGCUGUGUGGCGGAAGAUUUCUGUGUGAAGCCUUAGGUUUUAUGACCCUUGCAUUCAUCAUUUUUCUUCGAUGGAAUCCCUUUGUUUUGUUUCUAGGUUCUGUCUGAAUUUGAUCAUGGGGGCAUAUGGAUUGAGUUGUUAACCUCUUUUUUCCUGGUGUAGUGUUUUGAAUGGUUUUGCGUUUACAGCCUCAUGCUUGAUUUGGUGGUCUCUACUCCCUGGAUUCUGAUUUAUCAGAUUCUGCCUUUCGUUUCUACUUUUGGUAUGAGCUUUUCUAGAUUUACUUCUCCAUUAUUUUUUCUUAGAUCUCUCUCUGGGAAGAUCAGUGAAUGUGUGGUGUGGGUUGUGGAAGCAGUGGCUGUCUUAUUUACAUGAUUUGGUGAUCUCAACUCCGGAUUCUGAAUCUUGGAUUUGAUUUUUGCUUUUCCAAUGGUUACUGAGAGCUUUAUUUAUCUCUGCAAUUAUGGGUCAAUGUGUUCUUUCAUCUUUGGAAAUUAUUUCUCUCGGUUCUAUUUUUCUUUUUCCAUUAAGUGGAUUGUUAUGCUUCUUGCUUGUUCCCAUCUUAAUCGAGUUUGUGUUUUUCCGAUUGAUACACUUUUAUUGGAAUUGAAGAUCUUAAGAAAUUGACAAGUCUAGUGACUUUUUACGUCAAUUAUUUGAAUUAUAGAGCAUCAUUCUUCAUUUCGUCAUGGAUAAUCAUCUAUCUAAUAGUUGAUGAAGUUGAACUGUUUGUGUUUCAUUGGUUUGCAGCACGUUAAGAUUACUGUGUAAGAUUGAAGAUUAAAAUAUAAAAAGAAAUCAUGCCUGAUACGGUGGAUUUAAACGGCUAACUGUUCUCGAUAAACCAAAUUUCUUCUUUGAUUUUCUUCUAUUGUUCAAUUUCCCUGGACUUGAUCACGAAACACACGGAUUGAAUUGUGAACCUGUUUUCUGCAGUGUAGUGUUCUGAAUAGUUUCGUGUAAUGUUCUGCGUAGUGUGAAACUGCCUCGUCAAUGGUUUGGUGGUGUCUACUAGUUGAAUAUUCUUGGAUUUGUCUCUUUGUUUCAAUGUUUCAAUUAGUUUUCUAGGUUUAAUUUUCUGUGACUUGUGCUUGGGUCUUACAGGGAAGAUAAGCAAUGGAUAUGACCGGCAUGGGAGGCUGUGGAAAAGCUGUGUGGCGGAAGAUUUCUGUGUGAAGCCUUAGGUUUUAUGACCCUUGCAUUCAUCAUUUUUCUUCGAUGGAAUCCCUUUGUUUUUUUUCUAGGUUCUGUCUGAAUUUGAACAUGGGGGCAUAUGGAUUGAGUUGUUAACCUCUUUUUUCCUGGUGUAGUGUUUUGAAUGGUUUUGCGUUUACAGCCUCAUUCUUGAUUUGGUGGUCUCUACUCCCUGGAUUCUGAUUUAUCAGAUUCUGCCUUUCGUUUCUACUUUUGGUAUGAGCUUUUCUAGAUUUACUUCUCCAUUAUUUUUUCUUAGAUCUCUCUCUGGGAAGAUCAGUGAAUGUGUGGUGUGGGUUGUAGUGGCUGUCUUAUCACAUGAUUUGGUGAUCUCUACUCCGGAUUCUGAAUCUUGGAUUUGAUUUUUGCUUUUCCAAUGGUUACUGAGAGCUGUAUUUAUCUCUGCAAUUAUGGGUCAAUGUGUUCUUUCAUCUUUGGAAAUUAUUUCUCUUGGUUCUAUUUUUCAUUUUCUAUUAAGUGGAUUGUUAUGCUUCUUGCUUGUUCCCAUCUUAAUCGAGUUUGUGUUUUUCCGAUUGAUGCACUUUUAUUGGAAUUGAAGAUCUUAAGAAAUUGAUACGUCUUGUGACUUUUUACGUCAAUUAUUUCAAUUAUAGAGCAUCAUUCUUCAUUUUGUCAUGGAUAAUCAUCUAUCUAAUAGUUGAUGGAGUUGAACUGUUUGUGUUUCAUCGGUUUGCAGCACGUUAAGAUUACUGUGUCAGAUUGAAGAUUAAAAUAUAAAAAGAUAUCAUGCCUGAUACGGUGGAUUUAAAAUGCUAACUGUUCUCGAUAAACCUAAUUUCUUCUUUGAUUUUCCACUAUUGUUCAAUUUCCCUGGAAUUGAUCACGAAACACACGGAUUGAAUUGUGAACCUGUUUUCUGCAGUGUAGUGUUUGGAAUAGUUUCGUGUAAUGUUCUGCGUAGUGUGAAGCCGCCUCGUCAAUGGUUUGGUGGUGUCGACUUGUUGAAUAUUCUUGGAUUUGUCUCUUUGUUUCAAUGUUUCACUUAGUUUUCUAGGUUUAAUUUGCUGUGACUUGCGCUUGGGUCUUACAGGGAAGAUAAGCAACGGAUGUGACUGGCAUGGGAGGCUGUGGAAAAGCUGUGUGGCGGAAGAUUUCUGUGUGAAGCCUUAGGUUUUAUUACCCUUGCAUUCAUCAUUUUAUUGUUUGUUUGUUUUGGACUGGCUAUGCCUAUCCAGUUUAUUUUGGAAUUUGAUCUAGUUGUUUGUCGGUGUAAGUAUAAUAACCCCUCUGUUAGUGUGGGAGUUCUUGUGUGGGUUUGUAACAGGAACAAUCAAAGUAUUAUGCAUUUGGGGAUUGUUACAAUGUCACAGGAAGAAUUUGGGACAGUGUGAUUGGGUGGUUGACUCUUUGAUUAAAAAAACUUCGUACCCCAUUGCUCAGAGGCUCUUCGCUAUGCGAAGGUAUGGUUGACUCUUUGAUUGGUUUGGAGAAAUUCUACUGCUCCUUUUACUGUUUUCUUGAUAAUGGUGAUGUUCAUAUUGCAGUAUGCUGGAGUAUCAAUUUUGCAUUCAUUCUUCAUACAGAAGAUUAGAACUGCUAACAAGUAUAGAUAAUGUAAUUUUUCUUCGAUGGAAUACCUUUGUUUUGUUUCUAGGUUCUGUCUGAAUUUGAUCAUGGGGGCAUAUGGAUUGAGUUGUUAACCUCUUUUUUCCUGGUGUAGUGUUUUGAAUGGUUUUGCGUUUACAGCCUCAUGCUUGAUUUGGUGGUCUCUACUCCCUGGAUUCUGAUUUCUCAGAUUCUGCCUUUCGUUUGUAAUUUUGGUAUGAGCUUUUCUUGAUUUACUUCUCCAUUAUUUUUUCUUUGAUCUCUCUGGGAAGAUCAGUGAAUGUGUGGUGUGGGUUGUGGAAGCAGUGGCUGUCUUAUUACCUGAUUUGGUGAUCUCUACGGAUUCUGAAUCUUGGAUUUGAUUUUUGCUUUUCAAUGGUUACUGAGAGCUUUAUUUAUCUCUGCAAUUAUGGGUCAAUGUGUUCUUUCAUCUUUGGAAAUUAUUUCUCUCGGUUCUAUUUUUCUUUUUCCAUUAAGUGGAUUGUUAUGCUUCUUGCUUGUUCCCAUCUUAAUCGAGUUUGUGUUUUUCCGAUUGAUACACUUUUAUUGGAAUUGAAGAUCUUAAGAAAUUGAUAGUCUAGUGACUUUUUACGUCAAUUAUUUGAAUUAUAGAGCAUCAUUCUUCAUUUCGUCAUGGAUAAUCAUCUAUCUAAUAGUUGAUGGAGUUUGAACUGUUUUAGUUUCAUCGGUUUGCAGCACCUUAAGAUUACUGUGUCACAUUGAAGAUUAAAAUAUAAAAAAGAUAUCAUGCCUGAUACAUUGGAUUUAAACGGAUAACCGUUCUCGAUAAACCUAAUUUCUUCUUUGAUUUUCCUCUAUUGUUCAAUUUCCCUGGACUUGAUCACGAAACACACGGAUUGAAUUGUAAACCUGUUUACUGCAGUGUAGUGUUCGGAAUAGUUUCGUGUAAUGUUCUGCGUAGUGUGAAGCGUCGUCAGUGGUUUGGUGGUGUCUACUAGUUGAAUAUUCGUGGAUUUGUCUCUUUGUUUCAAUGUUUCACUUAGUAUGCUAGGUUUAAUUUCCUGUGAGGCUUGGGUCUUACAGGGAAGAUAAGCAACGGAUGUGACCGGCAGGGGGAGGCUGUGGAAAAGCUGUGUGGCGGAAGAUUUCUGUGUGAAGCCUUAGGUUUUAUUACCCUGGCAUUCAUCAUUUUAUUGUUUGUUUGUUUUGGACUGGCCAUGCCUAUCCAGUUUAUUUUGGAAUUUGAUGUAGUUGUUUGUCGGUGUAAGUAUAAUAACCCCUGUUAGUGUGGGAGUUUUUGUGUGGGUUUGUAACAGGAACAAUCAAAGUAUUAUGCAUUUGGGGAUUGCUACAAUGUCACAGGAAGAAUUUGGGACUGUGUGAUUGGGUGGUUGACUCUUUGAUUGGUUUGGAGAAACUCUACUGCUCAUUUUGCUGUUUUCUUGAUAAUGUCUUUAGUAGUCUCAUCUUCUAAUUGAAUAUCCUGUUCGUCACAGUGGCACGAGACCUCCCAUUUUCUAUAGGAGUGAUUUUUUCCGCUGAAAUCUGCAGGAUCUUAUAUAAGCAAGAGCUCAGGGUUAUAUGAUUAGUUUCUUUUAUCUAGUUUUUCUUAGUUGAGAUUAUCUGAAUUAAUUUUUUAUUUUCUUAGGAGUGGCAAAAUUGAAGACAGGAUCUUAAUAGCUAUCUAGAUUUUACCAAAUGAUAAUCAGAAAGAGCAGAGGACUGAUUUAAUUUCUUUCUGCAUCGACUGCAGCACACAUUGAAUUUUGAACUUGUUUUUGUGCAGUUUGUGUUUGGAACGAUGUUGUGUUGGUUCUUCCCACAAAACACUGAAGUUCUUGCUUAAUUUAAGUGAUCACCUGGAGUUAGAAUUCUUGGUUUUAUCUUUUCAUUUUUAGACUAGACUCCUUUAUGAUGACAAUUUAAAUUGUACAGAUUAAUCGAUGAAAUGUUGCUGGGUUUUUGGUAUCACUUCCAUUUCCUAACUUCCCUUUAGAUUUUUUAUAGGGAAUUUUUGAAUUUCCUUUCUUUUUCUAUAUCAGGGCUAAAAUCACCUUUUGAGACCCCGGCUCCCCCACAAAUGGUACUUCUGUAUUAUUAAUCUGGACCCAAAUAUUUUCCUUACUUCACUUUCUUUGUACUGAUUAUUUUCUUCUUCGAUGUGGAUCUCUUGUAAUUUUCUUAAUUUAACAUUUUUUUUUGAAUCCAUAUUCAAGUGCUUUUAUGAUUUACAGUCAAAAACAGAUCUUUCAUGUUACUGCUGAAGAUUUCCUUUUUUGGAAAUGGAGUAAGGUUAAAAUAAAAACAUCUCUUGUCCUAUUUUCUAUAUUUUGUAUCAAAAUCCAAAGGCAUCUCUUGCAGGACUUGCCAUGUAAUUUCUAAGAGUUUGUGUGUGUGUGUGUGUACACAUACAUAUGCAUUUUAUUCUUCUUCAUAGAAUUAUUGCUUUUUUGAAAUUUGAUUCUAUCCUGAAAAGAUUGCUUCAUAUGUUUCCUUGAAAAUGUUUAAAGUAAAGCCUUCUUCAAUUCCAUGGUUCUUGGUUUUGCUAUUUUAGUUCUAGGAUUUAUUCCCCUAAUUUUGCUUUUCCAAUAUUAAACCUUUUCUUUUCUCAAUUUUAUUCAUGCGCUUUUCUUAAAGUUUCCUUUUCGAAUAAUGACUGAUAAUCUGAAGAAACUGAUAUUUGUCUUUCUCCUCAAUCAUAUUAAUAUUAUUCUUCACCUGGAGAUCUUUUCUGUUGAAAAUGGUGUUCAUAUUGCAGUAUGCUGUAGUAUAUCAAUUUUGCAUUCAUUCUUUACACAGUAGAAUGGAUAACAAGUAUUGGUAAAUUUACUUUUUCUUCGAUGGGAUCUCUGUUGUUAGGUUCUGAAUUUGAUCAUGGGGUAUAUUGAUUGAGUCGUUAACCUACCUCUCUUGUGUAGUAUUUUUAGUAGUUUUGGGUAACAACCUUGGUGAUCUCUACUCCCUGGAUUCUGAUUUCUCAACAGCCUUGGUGAUCUCUACUCCCUGGAUUCUGAUUUCUCAGAUUUUGCCUAUAGUUUCUACUUUUCAAUUGGCCUAGUAUGAGCUUUCCUUGAUUUACUUCUCCAUGAUUUUUGCGUUGAUCUCUCACAGAAGAUCGGUGAAUGUGUGGUGUAUUGUGGAAACAGUGGCUGUCUUAUUACAUGAUUUGGUGAUCUCUACUCCCUGGAUUCUGAUUUCUCAGAUUUUGCCUAUAGUUUCUACUUUUCAUUGGCCUAGUAUGAGCUUUCCUUGAUUUACAUCUCCAUGGUUUUUGCUUUGAUCUCUCACAGAAGAUCGGUGAAUGUGUGGUGUGUUGUGGAAACAGUGGCUGUCUUAUUACGUGAUUUGGUGAUCUCUACUCUGGAUUAUGAAUCUCGUAUUUGAUUUAUAAACUUUUCAUUGGUUACCGAGAACUUUAUUUAUUUCAGUGCGAUUUUGUGUUGAUCCACCUGUGUUCAAUUAUGGGCAUUUUACAAUAGUGCUUCAUGAUUGUUGAGUCCCUAGGGAAGAUAAGAAAUGUUGUUUAUGAUUUAUCUUCUCAACAGGAGCAAUAAGGGAUGGGUUUUCACUUUUGUUUCGAGAAUCUGCAUUUGGGUUUGAAGAACUACGCAACUCUUCUUUCAUAGUUUUCUUGAUAACUUUUAUAUGGAAGAUUAGAUAUAUCUAGGUGUUGAACUACUUGCGCUUAUUUGUUUGCAGCAGGGAGUCAUGAGAUUUCUCUUUUGGAUUGAAGAUUAAAUAAUGAAAGAUAUUGUGCGAUUCUUGAUACAGUAAAGUAGAAUGGCUAACAGCUCUGGAUACUAAUUUAUUUUAUGAGUUUCAUUUGUAUUAUUGUAUUUCUAUGGACUUGUUCUCAUCAGAAUAUAUGGAUUGAAUUGCGAUCCUAUUUCCUUUGCGGUGUAGUAUUUGGAAUUGUUUUGUGUGGCGUCCUGCAUUUCAUCGAGCCUCGUGCAAAUGAUAUGGUGUUGUCUGGAUUUUUUCAUUCUUGAACUUUUUUGUUUCUAUCCUUCACUUUUUUUAGUGUUUAUAGUUUUUUCAAUUUUAUUCUGUGACUUCCACUUGGGCCUUACAGGGAAGAUAGUCAAUGGAUGUUUAGUCGGCUGGGGAAGCAGUGGUGGAGAGUUAUUGUUUAUUUUUCUAACAGGAACAUAAUAGUCAAUGGAUGUUUAGUCGGCUGGGGAAGCAGUGGUGGAGAGUUAUUGUUUAUUUUUCUAACAGGAACAUAAUAGUAUUUGAGGCACUGAAGUUUUUGUGGAGCAUUUGUUUGUUGCAUAUGGGGGGUUUGGAGAACUCUGUGGCUCUUCCGCUGUUUUCUAGAUAAUUUUUUAUGCGAAAGAUAUAUCCCAAGUGUUGAACGGCUUGAGAAGCGGAACGGGCAAGUCAGCCAAAGCAACUUUCAGGGAAGCCUGCUCCUCAUCUGACUUUGUUUUGAGUUUGUCUUCGUAUGGUAUUUCUGUUUUCGAUUGAAGAUUAAAUCACAAGAGUAUUCUGUGAUUCUUGAUACAGCGAAUUAGAAUGGCCAACAGCUAUAGAUAAAUUAAUUUCUCUGUAUUAUUUUUCAUCUGGACAUGAUUGCGAAACAUAAGCAAUGAAUACCUUUGCUUUCUGCAAUGUAAUGUUUGAAAUGGUUUUGUGUUGCAUUGAGGCUCAUGCAUGGUUUGGCGUGUCUCUCUUGGUUUUUGAAUUCUUAUAUUUUCUUUUCGUUUCUUUUGAUGUUUAUCAUGAGCGUUUUUUAUAUUCUGUGUGACUUCCCCGUGGGGGGGUUAAAGGGAAGAUAAGCAAAUGGAUGUUUGCUGGCUGUGGAAGGCAGUGGUUGGAGAUUAUUGAUGGACUUCCUGUGAGAAAGGGUUUUACUACCCUCACAUUCUUUAUUUUCUUCUGUGUUUUGAUGCUGUACGGUAACCUGGUAGUGUCAGAGUCGUUGUGUGUGAUUCUAACAGGAAUUAGUAUUCAACAAUUUCACCCAAAAAAAAAUAAUAGUAAGAGUUUUCAAGGCAUUGGAGAAUUUACAGAGAAAUUUGUUUGUUUCAUAUUUGGGUUUGGAGAACUCUUUGACUUUCUCACUUUUGUUUAUUCAUAUGCAGCAUGCUGAGUCUUGAUAUGAGAUAUUUGUUGCCGAUUGAAGAAUUUAGAACAGAUAACAGCUCUUGAUGAAUUGAUUUCUUUGAUGAUUUCUUCUUUCUGCAUUAUUUUUUUCUUUGGAUUUGAUCGCAAUACAUUGAAUUGAAUUGUUAGCCUGUUUUCUGCAUUGCUUUGUGUAGUGUUUUUCUACUCAUCGAGCCUCAUGCGUAAUUUGGUGAUAUCUCUCACUGUUUUGAAUUCUAGGAUUUUCUUUUCGUUUCUGUCGUUCUUUGUUUAUCAUUAUAAGCCAUUAGUUUUUCGAUUUUAUUCUCCGUGACCUCCACUUGGGGCCUUGCAGGGAAGAACGACGAUGGAAGUUGGUAGGAUGUGGUAGCAGUUGUGGUGGAGAUUUUUGGCUUACUCACUGUGAAGUCUUUGGUUUAUCUUUUCAUUUUUGGACUUAAAGAAAAGUGUUAACUUUUGACAAGUGUACAAUCAAUUGUGCUGGGUUUGGUAUCACUUUCAUUUGUCAUUGCUAUGUGGAUUAGAUUUUUAUGUCAUUUGGAACGUUGGAUUUUCUGUGUUUUUCUAUCAGGACUGAAGUCACCAAAUAUUGAGUCCCCAAUUUUUCUCUCCCUUGGAUUUUCUUUAUUCUUCAUACUGAUUGUUUGCUUAUGUUCUUGUUAAGUUGAAAUCCAAAGGCAUAUAGAAAGUUAGUUGCCAUGUAUUCCUAAGAGUAUUGUAAUGGUUAUCUUUUAAAUGGGUCAUAUUAAUAUAAGUUUUGUUUUAUAUCGUGAUACCUUUCUUCUUUGUUGAAUUAUUGUUUAAUUUUUUUUUAAAAAUUUUUGAAUCUACUUUGAAAAAAUUGCUAUAUAUAUAUAUAUAUAUAUAUACAUAUAAAUUCAGCUUACCUUCAAUUCAGCAUUUCCAGUUAUUUUUUAUAUUGCAUUCAGGCACUUGAUGUCUCAUUUAUAGAGAAGAACAAUAAUGAAUUUUUAGCAUUUCAUUAAUUAGUUCCUAUGUUUGGAGGUCUCAUUUCUAUUUGAGUUGAUGAUUUGAAUUUCAUGAUUUUUGGCUUUUGCUGUUCUUAUUUUAGGAUCCAUCAGUAUUUGUAUGGUUUUGCUUUUCCAAUUUCCAAGCUUGUUUUUCUUAAUUUUAUGAUUUUCUAUUUCUAUUCAAUUAUGUAAAUAUCAUUUAAAUGUUAUCUUCUGUUGAUCGUGGAUAUUGGCUUUUUUCUGCUCAAGUUCAUUCAUUUGAAGCAUGUGCUGAUUUAUUAUGUUCAUGAGAUUUCGGUGUGUAUCAAUUUGCCAUCCGUGCAGCAAAUUAGAAUGGCUAAUAAGUCUAGAUGAAUUUGAUUUUUCUUCAAUGGGAUCUUCAGUAAUGUUAGUUUCUGAAUUUGAUCCUGAGGCAUAUGGAUUGAGUUUUAAACCUUUUUUUCUUGCAUUAUAGAGUAGUUUUGUUUUGCAUUCUGCAUAGCAUCCAGUCUCCGCAUGAUUUGGUGAUGUCUACCCCAGAUCAAACUCAAAUUUGUCUUCACAAUUUUCUUGGGUCUACUAUGGGUGUUUCUUGACUUACUCUAUGGUUUCUGCUUUUGGUCUCACAGGGAAGUCAAGUAGUGGUAAUGUGGUGUUGUGAAAGCAGUGGCUAUCUUAUUACAUGAUUUGGGAAGUCAAGUAGUGGAAAUGUGGUGUUGUGAAAGCAGUGGCUAUCUUAUUACAUGAUUUGGUGAUCACUACCCUGGAUUUAGAAUUCUUGGAAUUUGUCUUUUGCUUCAUAUCUCAAAUUACUUCUCCUUUUUUUGUGUUUGGGUCACAACAGUGGCUGUUGAAGGCUUGAAGCAGUGGCUAUCUUAUUGCUGGUUAUUAUAACCACUUGGUUUAAUCAUCUACUGUAUUUAUUCAUUUGCCGCAUGCUAGAUUCCCGAUGAGUUUUAUUUCUGCGGUGUUGCUGAUUGCAGAUUGAAUCAAUAAAUUGUUGUUAGGGGCAAACUUCUCUGGUUUCGAGGACCAGAACCUCCUAUGAAGAAGAAGAAGGAGAAGCUAGAGAAACGACAAGAAUAGAAAAUGGAAAUAUCUAAUGGAAUAUUCUAUGCCAAUUGUUGGUUAUUGCUGCCCCCUACUCGAAGACAACAACCCUGUAGAUGAUCCCUUAAGCCCACUCAGCAUCCUCACACAUAGUCUCGCAGGUACGCAGGCCUAGCAAUUGCCCUCUUUGCUCCGUUUCCUAAUUGCACCUUGUUGUUAGUGUGUUUGCUGGGUUCCUCAUCUAUUACUUGUUGUACCCCUGUUCGUCUAUCAUUCCACGGCCCAUGCAAAUGCACCUUGUCCUCAAGGUGAUAUUCCUCAGCUAAUUGAGUCUAGCGUUCCCAUGAAGUCUCCUCCGGGGGUAGUCCUGUCCACUGCACGAAAACUUCCCAGUAAGUCUCUUCUCCCUCUGACGCCUUGCGGUAAUCCCGAAUUGCUAAAGGGGGGUUAUCAAAGGUUGGUUAUUCACAACUUGAUCAGGUAAUGGGGCUGAGUUCGCUACUUCCGGUGAUCCCUUAAAGGGCUUCAAAAUGGAACAAUGGAAUAUUGGAUGAAUGUUGGUGCCUUCGGGGAGUUUCAAACGAUAAGCUACGGGCCCCACGCGAUUCACCACCUGAAAUGGGCCAUAAUAGCGCUUCGACAAUUUCCCGGAAGAGCCCAAUUGCGGUUUAGCCGAAAUUUGCCUUCGUGGCCUCAAUUUGAUCAUCACCCACUCCCCUGGUUGAUAGACCACCUCCCGGCGCUUGUGAUCAACGUACUUCUUCAUAAGCUCUUGAGCUUUUAGCAGCUUCUUGCGGAUGAGCAAGAAGGUUUCUUCGCGGUUGGUCAACAUUUCAUCCACUGCGUCCACCUUGGAAGUACCCGUGAGAUACUCCGGAAAAUUGAAAGGCUUCCUCCCAAAGGUGACUUCAUAGGGUGUAGACCCCGUGGCCGCGUUCCACGUUGUAUUGUGGGACCAUUCCACCCACAGUAAUAGCUUGCCCCAUGAUCCCGACCGGCGAUGCACGAAGGAGCGAAGAUAUUGCUCAAUCACUCGAUUAAGAACUUCAGUUUGUCCAUCGCUCUGUGGGUGAUACACAGAGCUGAGACGAAGCUGUGUUCCACUUAGGCGAAAUAAUUCUUGCCAAAACCUGCUGAUGAAGAGCGGGUCUCGGUCAGAAACCAGACUGCGUGGAAGGCCGUGGAUUUUUUCGACGAUGUUCAUGAACAAACAGGCUACCGCGUGGGCCGUGUGUGAUGUCGGCAGCAUCCCUAGGUGGAUACCCUUUGAGAAACGGUCAACCACAACGAGAGUAACCGUAUUUCCCUGAAAUGAAGGUAGCCCCAUAAUGAAGUCCAAUGAGAGGUCCUCCCACGGCCGAUGUGGCACCGGAAGAGGACACAGCAAGCCCGCCACUCUCUUUGUCUCUAUUUAGCAUAUUGGCAAUCCACGCAACUUUGAACAAAUUGGGAAACAUCUUCACGUAACCCUUCCCAAUUGAAGUUAUCCAUUACGCGAGCAAUGGUCUUCGCGAUGCCCAAGUGGCCGCCUGUCAGCGUGGCAUGAUACUCUCGAAGAAGAGUGGGGAUCAAUGGUAACCAAAUACGGUCUCGUUUAAGUAUCAAGCCAUUGGUUAUAGUGAGCUCGGGGUACUUGGUUGGAAAGGAUCUAAUCGCCUGAAGUCUAUCUUGGUAAAGCUGGUUCUGAGCUAAUUGUGCUCGCAAUUCCUCCAUAAACGUUAAGCAGGGCACCGACAGAGUAAGCAACAGAGAGGUGGAGUGUUCAAGUAAUCGAGAUAGGGCGUCUGCAGCUUGAUUGGAAGCGCCGGAACGAAAUUGAAUUUGGUAAUCGUACCCCAUCAACCGAGCAAGGUACAUAUGUUGCUCUGGGGUCUGAAUAACUUGCGUAAGGAGUUCCUAAGCUGCGAUGAUCAAUAAGGAUGAUGAAACGGUUUCCGAGGAGGUAUUGCCUCCAUUUCUUGACUGUUGCCGUCACAGCGAAUAAUUCUCGGACAUAAGUGGACGAGUGUUGGAGCUUAGGUGGGACUGGCUUGCUAAAGUAUGCAAUUGGGUGCCCCUGCUGGGAGAGGAUGACACCCAUGCCCACCCCGGAAGCAUCGGUCUCGACCAUAAAUGGCAAUUGGAAAUCCGGCAAGGCAAGUACCAGAGCAGACAAGGCUUUCUUUAAAAGUUCAAAUGCGAGCUGAGCCGCCGCGGUCCACUGAAAAGGCUCCACCGUGGUUGCUGCCACCAACGGGGCAGCUAUCGAAGCAUACCCCUUAAUAAAUCUCCUACAGAAGCCCGCAAGGCCCAGAAAGCUUCGUAAAGCUUUAAUGGAGUGGGGAACUGGCCAUUGCCGGACUGCUUCUACCUUGGCUGCUACUGGUUCCACUCCCCUCUCCGAGACCAUGUGCCCGAGAUAUUCCACCUGUUGCUGUGCGAAUGAACAUUUAGAUAAUUUAAGGACAAAAUGAUUAUCCAAAAGGACCUGAAAAGCUUGUUGCACAUGUGUGACAUGUUCCUUAAGUGUAGCGCUGUAUAUAAGUAUAUCGUCGAAGAAGACGAUCAGGAAUCGACGAAGGAAUGGUCUGAAGAUCAUAUUCAUGGUUGCCUGAAAUGAUGAGGGAGCAUUGCAUAAACCAAAAGGCAUUACCUUGAAUUCGUAAUGCCCAUGGUGAGUGCGAAAUGCUGUCUUGGCAAUAUUGGAGGAAUGCAUCCUGAUUUGAUGAUAGCCCUGCAACAAGUCUAAUUUCGAAAAACAACAAGCCUUACCCAGUUCAUCCAGGAGCUCGUCGAUGGUGGGAAUUGGAAAGCGGUCACGGACAGUCACGACGUUCAGGGCGCGAUAAUCCACGCAAAACCACCAUGAUUGCUUCUUCGUGAGGAGCACAGGGAAGGAGAAAGGGCUCGUACUGGGACGGAUGAGGCCCUUCUGAAGCAUGGACUCGACCUGGAGCUCAAUCUCACGUUUCUGAAAGUGAGGGUACCGAUAGGGACGCACCUUCACUGGGGUAGCUUGUGGAAUUAAGUGAAUGUGAUGGUCAGUGAUUCUCUUCGGUGGAAGCGCGGUGGGGGGUUGAAACAGAAUAGCAAAAUGGUCCACCAAGUCCUGAAUUGCGGGGUGCAGGGGUGAACUGGAGUCAGGUAACGGUGUCUCAGCGAGGACUGCAAUAUGGAAGAAGGAGCUAGUGUCGGAGUUGCGAGAUAACCGGCGAAAUUGAUGUGGUGUCAGCAUCGUCAAGGUGGACUCCUGAAAAGAACUUCAUGCUCAUAGUGUUAUAAUCGGUGAGGACUGGGCCGAGCAUCUUCAACCAUUGCACACCUAAAACGACAUUCCCACCUGCAAUUGGAAGCACAAACAGGUCCACCACACAAUGGAAUUGUUGCAUGGUGAGGGAGAGGUCAGGGCAGAGACGAUCACAAGCCAAAUGUUGGUCGUUACCAAUCAUUACACGAAGUGGGGUUGUGGGCUGAGUUUGGAGGCCAAGUUGAGUGACGAGGGACUCCUGAAUGAAAUAGUGGGUGCUCCCACCGUCCACCAGGACGACUACGGUGGUGCCGGCAACCGUGCCAAUCAAACGCAGCGUUUCCAGGGCGAGCUGGCCCGCAAGGGAAUUAAAACUAAUUUGGGUCGGGCCCGGGUCGUGGAUCUCGGGUGGGUCGGGGCUCGGGUCAAUUUCCCCUAUAUGAGAGUCAACAACUUCAUCUUCCUCCGCGACCAAGAAGAAAACCCUAGAGGUACAACGGUGGCCUCUAUGGUACUUCUCGUCGCAAUUAAAACAGAGGCCCCGUUCUCUGCGGGAGCUAAUUUCCUCCGAUGAGAGUCUCUUCAAUGUGGCGGGUAAACGUGGUGGCGGUGGGCGUGAAGUGGGAAGAGGAAGCAAGGCAGGGGUGGCCGUCGGACGCAGCGAGAGAGGCACAACCGAUGGAGCACGAGUGCGAAGGGAGGGUCGCGCAUCAAGAAGCUUCUCUUCUUAGAGGCGAGCCUGCACUUCACGGCGAACAUCGGGCGAUAAUCCUGAUAUGAAGCAGCUGAGGAGGAAUUGAGGGGGAAGCCCAACAAUUCGGUUAGCUAAAUCCUCAAAGUUCGAAAGAUAUUGGGCCACCGUGCCGGUCUGCUGCAAUUUGAAAAGGGAGCCUGUGGGGUCGUCGUAGUGAGAAGGGGCAAAGCGAGUCUGAAGGGCUUGGACGAAUGCAGGGCACGACGUGAAUUGGCCAUUGUUAGCCAUCCACUGGAACCAUGCAAGAGCACGGCCAUCCAUAUAGAAGGAAACAAUGGUAAGUCGAUCGUGCUCGGGAGUCGCGUGGUAUUGAAAAUAUUGAUUGAUUUUAAACACCCACCCGUAAGGGUCAGUGCCAUCAAACUUGGAAAUGUCGAGUUUCAUUUUGUGUUGUGAUGCAGGGACAAAGGGAAAAUAAGGUGUGCUCGGGUUUGGGGAUGAGGACGAAGGGGAAGAUGGAGAGCGCAGCAAGAGGGCAUCAAACUUCUGAGCCAUGCUUUGAACGGUUUCACCCAAGGAAGCAUGGAGGUUAGUAAGUUUGAGGAGGGCAACUUCAAGGGGGUUGGGGGGAGGAUCAGGCAUGGCGACGAGAGCACCAAAUGUUAGGGGCAAGCUACUCUGGUUUCGAGGACCAUAACCUCCUAUGAAGAAGAAGAAGGAGAAGCUAGAGGUAAUUGUAUUUUCAUUGAUCUGCAGGUUUAUUACAAUUCUGUUACUAGAAAAGAUAAGAAUAGAAAAUGGAAAUAUCUAAUGGAAUAUUCUAUGCCAAUUGUUGGUUAUUGUGGCCCCCUACUCGAAGACAACAACCCUGCAAAUGAUCCCUUAAGCCCACUCAGCAUCCUCACACAUAGUCUCGCAGGUACGCAGGCCUAGCAAUUGCCCUCUUUGCUCUGUUUCCUAUUUGCACCUUGUUGUUAGUGUGUUUGCUGGGUUCCUCAUCUAUUACUUGUUGUACCCCUGUUCAUCUAUCAUUGUUAUGCCUUUCUAGAUUCCAGAUGUUUUAUUUCCAUGGUGUUGCUGAUUGAAGAUUGAAUUAAUAAAAUAUUAUGCCUUUCUGGCAAACGUGAACUAGACCUGGCUGCAGAUAAACCUAAAUGUCUUGUAUGGCUUUGUUUAUAUUUUUCAUUUUCUGGAUUGAAUUAAUAAAAUAUUAUGCCUUUCAUUGUGGACUGACUAUCCUUUUUUGUUGGUUUUGGACUUGUUUUUGACAGUGCAGUGUUCUGUUAGUGUUAGACUUGAUUUUUCUUUUGGGAAAUGUACGAGGGGGAGGGUUAGCUGGUUCUUUAUAGCAUGGCCUCUUAUGUUUCGGUGAUCUUUCACUAGAUUUUGAAUUGUGAGAUUUCUAAGUGGAUAGUUAUACUUCUCAGUGUUUUUACGACUAAUGAAUGUGUGGAGGCUGUGGAUGCUGUGGGGGGUUGUUUUCAUUCUUGACUAAGUUAUCUGGAUCUAUGGGGUUUUGGAUUGGUUGUUUCUAACAACGGUAUUGGGUAAGUUGGUAAUGCCAAAUUUUCCUCUCGCUGUUUCUGUAUCAAGAAUAGGACGACUUUAAGGUUACUGGUUUGAUCUUUCACUAGAUUUUGAAUUGUUGGAUUUCUGUAUCAAGAAUAAGGGCGACUUUAAGGUUACUGGUUUGAUCUUUCACUAGAUUUUGAAUUGUUGGAUUUCUAAGUGGAUAAGUUAUAUACUUCUAGUGAUUUUACGAGUAAUGAAUGUGUAGAGGCCGUGGAUGCUGUGGGGGGUUGACUUCAUUCUUGACUAAGUUAUCUGCUUCUAUAGGGUUAUGGAUUGGUUGUUUCUAACAACGGUAUUUGGUAAGUUGGUAAUGUCAAAUUUUCUUCUCGUUGUUUUUGUAUCAAGAAUAGUGCGACUUGGUUACUAGUUUGAUCAUAUUUGUUAUUUCAAGUAUGUGUGAGGUUUAUUCAAGAAUUUUAUGUGGCUUUACUAGGAAGAUGAACAAUGAAUUUAUAUUGUGUUUGUGUGUUUGUGCUUGUGUCAUGAGUACUGGGCGCUGUUCACAUGUUUCUAAAGAAUUGAUCUUUGUUACUGUGUCUUCUCAAUGGACUACUAGUAUAUUGGAAAGAGUAUAUUGAACAGUCAGGUCAAUUUUUGGUAUGUAGAAUUAUGUUGUUCUUUUAUAUGAUCUUUAAGUAUAUCCCCUUAAAUUGGAUGUCGUUUGUCAGUUCAGAACAUGAAACGCACUGUUUCACUUAAAAAAAAGGGAACGGAAAAUUUAGGGAUCUCUUCAAUGUAAAAAUUUAUAAGUAUUAGGGAUCUUUGGUGGUAUGUAGAAUAAUGCUGCUCAUUUCCUUAAAAUUUUUUCUAUUUGAUCUCUUCAAGGUAAAAAUUUAUAACCCAUUGUGUUAGAUGAGUAUUUAUAGCAUUGUUUAGUUAUGGGUUGUGUGAAGAGGGUUAGAAACUAAGUAUUGGGGAUUUUGCCUAAUCUCUUGUUCUCUUAUUUUAAAUGCUUAGAAGAUCAUGUGGGAAAUACGGUGGUUGAUCCUCCCAACAGCAUUGGAAGACAUUGAUUGCGUUCUUUUGUGUGAGUAGUUAAUCUACUUAACGACAUUUUUUUAAAGUUCUUUUAGGAGAAGCAAGUAAACUUCAAAAUAUAUAUAUUAUAUAAGAAUGAAUGUUGGAUUAUUUGUUUAUUCUAUUUAUUGUGAGUUCAUGAGUGAUUGUUAUUCUUUGAAGCACGGACACUCCAGUCCCUUGCCUUGUUUGGUGUUUGACACGACACCGACGCCCGUGUCUGGGUUGAGUUUGAUGUGUUUGACGGGUGUUCACGUGUCCGUGUCCGGUGUUCGUGUCAGUGUCGGUGCUUCAUAGUUGCCGUUUGCUACAACGAAGAGAUACUGAGUCAAUUUCUCAUAGUAUAUUUAUAAUUGUUGUUUGCUACAACGAAGAGAUAAUGUAGCAUAUGAGUCAAUUUCUCAUAGUAUAUUUAAUUUUAUCGUUUGUUACAACGAAGAGAUAAUGUAGCAUAUGAGUCAAUUACUCAUAAUAUAUUUAUAUUUGUCGUUUGCAACAACGAAGAGAUAAUGUAGCCUGAGUCAAUUACUCAUAGUAUAUUUAUAUUUUUCGUUCGCUGCAAUGUAGAGAUAAUGCAGGCUAUGAGCUAAAUGUUGUAGUUAUAUAAUUACCGUUCACCAUAACGAAAAGAUAAUGUGGUCUAUGUGCA